rnacentral:lncRNA from 1 species
ACCUAUUGCUGAGACGGGAAGGAAUUGGCUCAAGUUUCUGCUAUCUUCCUGCAUUGCAUCAGGAUUUUGACUGUGCUCUGGAAUAGCUUAAUAUAGAAAUAGGUUUCCCCAAAGACCGUAUUCCUUCUGCUCAGCUUGGGCCUGCAGCUUGUCUUGCCUGCUGACUUGUCACACUCAAGUUAAGGAGCUGUCUUGGUUGGUCUUUUGCUCCUGAGCUUCCUCCUUAUAUCCCUUUGACUUCUAAAGAGAUUUAGGGAUUGUGUAGUAGGACCCAGAAGAGGACAUUUAGCGAAGGUACCACAACAGGAGAACUGGAGCUCAUGGGCAGAGGCAAGAGCUGGAAUAGGGUGUUAGAGCGGAUGACUCCUAGUGACAGACACUACUGAGACCAUCCUGGAUGGGUAGAUGUGACUGUAAACAACACAUGGAGUGUGAGAAAGUAUAUUCAGACAGAUGGCAUCAAAGCAUGCAGGUCUGACCUCUUCCUCAGCCCAGUUUCUUCUGUUAYGGCAGUUUGAGCAUGGAGACAGUGUCCUUUCUAAAGCAGCUUGAUGCUGGCAGUGUGCUUGCUCUCUACUCUCAGAAAGCAGAAUAUUGCUGCUCUACAGCUGUUUAAGCAGCAGCAUUUGCAAAAUGUGCUGCAGGAUCUGUUGGAUGAAAGAUGCAAAGAUGACAAAAAAAAAACAGGUAGUGGUGUGGGAGUGAUGAGCAGGUCAGCACUUGUGAGAUGGAGAGGAAGGGAAGGGGGAAGGUGAACCAAGCUCAGGACAGCAGAAAGCAAGGUGAGAAGCUGCAGCUGAAAAAGGAAAAGCAACAGUAGAAGACAGAAUGGUAGAACAAAAGUGGAUGAAAACAUGAAGUAGACCAAGAAAGAGCAGAUGGCAGGGAUUGCAGAUGGACCUCUCUCCACAACUGAACAACAUUGUGGCAGGCCGGAGGAGGAGAGGCCCAGCUCUGCUCCUGCUGUGCUGAGGGGCAUGGGCGUUUAGUGGCGCACCUCAUAGGUGCGAGAUGGGAUGCUGGGAAUGCUGGUGCUUCGCUUGGACUGUGCGAGUUGUUCCCAAGUGGAUGGCUACCCGGUUGCACAGAGCUUGGGGUGAGCCUGUCCCUACAGAGUGUGGUGGUGGGAGCAGGUUGUAGAGCUGAGAAAGAUUUGGAGGCCUCUCACCCCUGCUGCUGCCUAGGCCAUCUGCGGUGGCUGCUCUUGCCCUGCUGCCCUGGUCCCUGCUCUGUGCUGCACCAUGGAGGUGCCUGUGUCUACCAAGGCUUGUUGUUUGAGGUAGGUCAGCUUGAAGAUGAUGUGUUGGGGAAAGUGUUUGACCAAGAAGGUGCUCCUGAACUUUCAAGCUUGAACUUGAGAGCUAGGCUCCUAGUUUUGUCACCUCAGCCACCAGGGCAUGUAAACUUGGAGCAGGGGAUGUUGCUGCAAGCCUUCAGCCCACCAGGAAACAGCAGCAGCAUACUUCCAUUGCCUUCAGGGAGUGGAGGGAGUGAGCAGAGCUGAACAGGUUGGAAGGGAUCUGUGAUCAGCCUUGGUGAAGCUGGUGUAGCCAGGAGGCCCAGGGGACUUAAGAUCCCAGGGUGUACUGUGGAGAACAAGUCAUCUAGAUGCAUCAAGAUUUCUGUCUGAGCACUUGUAACAGGAAACUUUCAGGAAUGUAAGGUAACCAGUAAAUGAGGAAAUGUGAUGCAUGUGCCUGUUUCUUAUCUGCCUAGUGGCAGUGAACCCACUUAGUGCUAUGUUAAUUUGUAAACCAUUUGCAGUUUCCCUGGCCUCAAGAUGAAUGUUGUAAUCGACAAACACAAAAUCUGAAGAUGCAGAGGGAGGAAAAAAAUAUGUGUGCAUCAGUCUGUUACAUUAAUCUUGGUGCUUGUAAACCAUUGUUGCAGCCACCUGACAAAUGAAGUUUGGGAACUGUUGCCUGAUGGCUUUGAUCCUGGUAAAAUUGUCUGCUGGAGCUGAGGAGAAGGUUCUUAUUGAAUCACUGGUUUGGGCUUCUAGAGGUGUGGGUUGAAAUAUCAUGUCUGCUACAGUGUCCUCUUGAUGAACACAUUUUUCUCUCCUUUCUUUUUAUUUCCAGAUCAGGAGAAAACUAAAAGCCUAUUAUACCUGUAACUUGUGUCUGUGUCUUGCUACUUAGCUCCCAC